CCUGAAAGAUUAUAGGAGGUCCAGCCUGCCCAGUGAUAAAAUUAAACGGCCGCGGUACCCUAACCGUGCGAAGGUAGCGCAAUCACUUGUUCUUUAAAUGAGGACUAGUAUGAACGGCAUCACGAGGAUUAUACUGUCUCCCUUCUUUAAUCAGUGAAACUGAUCCCCCCGUGAAGAAGCGGGAAUAAACAUAUAAGACGAGAAGACCCUAUGGAGCUUUAAACUAAACACCACUUAUCUAAAACACUUCAUAAUAAACAGAUAAGCUUGUGCGCGUUUUAGGUUGGGGUGACCGCGGAGUAAAAUUUAACCUCCACGUUGAAAGGCCUUUAUCCUUAUCCAAGAGCCACAUCUCCAAGAAUCAACAAAUUGACAUUUAUUGACCCAAAUUUUUUUGAUCAACGAAC
rnacentral:rRNA from 1 species